UACGAAGGGGGCUAGCGUUGCUCGGAAUCACUGGGCGUAAAGGGCGCGUAGGCGGCUGGACAAGUCGGGGGUGAAAUCCUGGGGCUCAACCCUAGAAUUGCCUUCGAUACUGUUCGGCUUGAGUCUGGUAGAGGUUGGUGGAACUGCGAGUGUAGAGGUGAAAUUCGUAGAUAUUCGGAAGAACACCAGUGGCGAAGGCGGCUCACUGGACCGGCAUUGACGCUGAGGUGCGAAAGCGUGGGGAGCAAACAGG
rnacentral:rRNA from 1 species